GCCUGGGUGGCUCAGUAGGUUAAGCGUCCGACUUUGACUCAGUUGUCUCACAGUUCAUGGGUUCGAGCCCCAUGUCGGGCU
rnacentral:tRNA from 1 species